rnacentral:rRNA from 1 species
UACGAAGGGGGCUAGCGUUGCUCGGAAUUACUGGGCGUAAAGCGCACGUAGGCGGACUUAUAAGUCGGGGGUGAAAUCCUGGAGCUCAACUCCAGAACUGCCUUCGAAACUGCAAGUCUUGAGUUCGGGAGAGGUGAGUGGAACUGCGAGUGUAGAGGUGAAAUUCGUAGAUAUUCGCAAGAACACCAGUGGCGAAGGCGGCUCACUGGCCCGAUACUGACGCUGAGGUGCGAAAGCGUGGGGAGCAAACAGG